rnacentral:RNase_MRP_RNA from 2 species
UCCUCGCCCAAAGAAUCGCAGUCGAAGCUCACGCACAGAGACGCCUCAGCGGCGUUCUCACUCCGCUCACACAACGCUUUGGGAGAAAGUCCCCGGACGGCCCCGCUCAGGGGACUCCGCGUCACCGCGCCGCCAUAGACGCCGCGCCGUCUCUUCGCUGUUCCCCGGCCUCCUGCGCGCCUUGCACCGCCUGCACCCGGCCACUCCCUCUCUGCUCCGCUCGGGCCCCAAGCUGUUCACCACGGAUGAAGAUAUGAGUCCGAGCGGCGCAAGGCUUGGGCUGGCGCGAGACGGGCUCUGUGGCUGGGGAGGUGCUUGGACACCGGUGGGAGCUCGAGGUUGCUGGCUUGCCAGUAGCAGCGGUGAGGUUCCUUCGUCGAGAAGAUAGUAAUGCGAUUGCUCUCUUGUCUGUCACGGGCGGAGAGUAACUCGAUGGGGCUUAUUCUUGGUGCGAGG